rnacentral:lncRNA from 1 species
AUAUUUCAUGAGGAAUAUAUGUUAUUCAUGUAAGCAAAAUACUGUAAUGGAGCUUUAAACUGUUGUGUCGCUAGACAUAUGUUUGCGGUUGGUGAAGAAGCUAGGUUAUAUAAAUAUGAAAAGGGAAAGACAAAAACAAGCACAACUUAUGAAAAUGCGUAUGUAACAUUAUUAACUUCUGAUCACCACUAUAAAUCUGGCGGAGAUCUGCCAGUUUAAGUUGUAAAGGAAAAACAUAAAUGGAAUACCGAAAAAAACAGAAAAAUCAAAACAAAAGCUAAUCAAAGUAUCAAACAAACCAUUUUAUCAUGGCCCUAUAUAUAUUAUCUCCACGAUGACAUCUAACUAUCUAAGUGAAACACAAAGAUCGUAUUAGCGAGUACAACUGAUUAUAGCCAAUAGGUAGGAUGUGGCCAGGACGCCAGGUCUCACUCUAUAUCACUGAUGUGGCCAGGACGCCAGGUCUCGCUCUAUAUCACAGAUGUGGCCAGGACGCCAGGUCUCGCUCUAUAUCUACAUUGACAUUGGCAUAUCAUGCUGAAUAAUAAUAAUGGCAGACACAAACACAAUUAGAUAUAGAACAAAUUAAAUUUGUAGAAUCCCUUAAAUAUUAUUUGAUUUCUUCCAGAAGCAGAUAUUUUUUAUAGUAUUAUUUCACGGUCAGUAGUAGCCAUUUUCACCCAGUCUUUGUCACAAACUUCUACAAUCAAACUUUCAGGUUUUGAUUUGUCCAUGGAAGAAGAUAACAAGUUCGAAAGUCCCCUAAACAAAAUAUUUAACUACUCUGGUAUACACAUAGAUAACAUGCUCGAAGAUUUGAACAGACCCCUGAAAAUUUCAAAGCAACCCGACUCGCCGACAGCGCCUUUGUUCAUGUUAAAAGUGUACCAACUUAGUCAAGAAAGAAGACCCUUUGUUCAUGUUAAUUAUAUAUGAAAUCAAUACCCUUAAAU